rnacentral:tRNA from 1 species
UCCCUGGUGGCUCAGCUGGUAGAGAAUCUGCCUGCAAUGCGGGAGACUUGGGUUCAAUUCCUGGGUAAGGAA